UCUCAAGCUGAUGACUGCUUGCACUCCAGUGUGAAGGCCGCAUCACAGCAAAAAGGGUUUUCCUGCCCCUGCUCAGGAUUAAGUUCCAGACCUACGGGCUUGGAAAGCCAGUUUCUCAUGAAACGUGAAGAUAUCUGAACUAGAGUCAGUGGAGCUGUUUGGCCUGAAAAAAGAUGGGGAAGCCCUGACCUAUGGCCUGCCAGCCAAAUCCAGCCUGCCUGCAACCGGGAGGAAGCAGAACUGGCUCUACCUCUGCUUUUGGCAAACUUGCUGCUGUUGUCCAUGGAUGCAGCCCUUCUCCUGGGGGACUUGCCACUUUUGCCUCCUUCUGGAUUGAGCAUCCACCAAGAGCUUUUUCCUGUUCCUUCGUUCUGUACUCUGAUAAACUUGCUGUGCAGCGAGAGGUUGUGACGAAUUGAAUUCUGGGAAGAAGAAAAAAGUUGCAAGAAAAAAGGCAGCGUGGACCAUGAAACCACCGAGUGAAGAACAGAGAAAGAAGAAGUAAUACAGAAAGAACAUAAAAGGCACAUCCUUGCAAUAUAAAAGGGAAUGCUGAAAUGAAAGCAAGGCAGCUGUACAGCAAAGACAGCACAUCCUGC